ACAGGCUUAACACAUGCAAGUCGAGGGGCAGCAUGGUCUUAGCUUGCUAAGGCCGAUGGCGACCGGCGCACGGGUGAGUAACACGUAUCCAACCUGCCGUCUACUCUUGGACAGCCUUCUGAAAGGAAGAUUAAUACAAGAUGGCAUCAUGAGUCCGCAUGUUCACAUGAUUAAAGGUAUUCCGGUAGACGAUGGGGAUGCGUUCCAUUAGAUAGUAGGCGGGGUAACGGCCCACCUAGUCUUCGAUGGAUAGGGGUUCUGAGAGGAAGGUCCCCCACAUUGGAACUGAGACACGGUCCAAACUCCUACGGGAGGCAGCAGUGAGGAAUAUUGGUCAAUGGGCGAGAGCCUGAACCAGCCAAGUAGCGUGAAGGAUGACUGCCCUAUGGGUUGUAAACUUCUUUUAUAAAGGAAUAAAGUCGGGUAUGCAUACCCGUUUGCAUGUACUUUAUGAAUAAGGAUCGGCUAACUCCGUGCCAGCAGCCGCGGUAAUACGGAGGAUCCGAGCGUUAUCCGGAUUUAUUGGGUUUAAAGGGAGCGUAGAUGGAUGUUUAAGUCAGUUGUGAAAGUUUGCGGCUCAACCGUAAAAUUGCAGUUGAUACUGGAUAUCUUGAGUGCAGUUGAGGCAGGCGGAAUUCGUGGUGUAGCGGUGAAAUGCUUAGAUAUCACGAAGAACUCCGAUUGCGAAGGCAGCCUGCUAAGCUGCAACUGACAUUGAGGCUCGAAAGUGUGGGUAUCAAACAGGAUUAGAUACCCUGGUAGUCCACACGGUAAACGAUGAAUACUCGCUGUUUGCGAUAUACGGCAAGCGGCCAAGCGAAAGCGUUAAGUAUUCCACCUGGGGAGUACGCCGGCAACGGUGAAACUCAAAGGAAUUGACGGGGGCCCGCACAAGCGGAGGAACAUGUGGUUUAAUUCGAUGAUACGCGAGGAACCUUACCCGGGCUUAAAUUGCAGAUGAAUUACGGUGAAAGCCGUAAGCCGCAAGGCAUCUGUGAAGGUGCUGCAUGGUUGUCGUCAGCUCGUGCCGUGAGGUGUCGGCUUAAGUGCCAUAACGAGCGCAACCCUUGUUGUCAGUUACUAACAGGUUCCGCUGAGGACUCUGACAAGACUGCCAUCGUAAGAUGUGAGGAAGGUGGGGAUGACGUCAAAUCAGCACGGCCCUUACGUCCGGGGCUACACACGUGUUACAAUGGGGGGUACAGAGGGCCGCUACCACGCGAGUGGAUGCCAAUCCCCAAAACCUCUCUCAGUUCGGACUGGAGUCUGCAACCCGACUCCACGAAGCUGGAUUCGCUAGUAAUCGCGCAUCAGCCACGGCGCGGUGAAUACGUUCCCGGGCCUUGUACACACCGCCCGUCAAGCCAUGGGAGCCGGGGGUACCUGAAGUGCGUAACCGCGAGGAGCGCCCUAGGGUAAAACUGGUGACUGGGGCUAAGUCAUA
rnacentral:rRNA from 1 species